AGAGUUUGAUCCUGGCUCAGGACGAACGCUGGCGGCGUGCUUAACACAUGCAAGUCGAGCGGAGACGAGGGAGCUUGCUCCCGAGUUUUAGCGGCGGACGGGCGAGUAACGCGUGAGCAACCUUUCUCUCAGUGGGGGAUAACACAGGGAAACCUGUACUAAUACCGCAUGAGACCACAGCGCCACAUGGCGUAGGGGUCAAAGAUUUAUCGCUGAGAGGUGGGCUCGCGUCCGAUUAGGUAGUUGGUGAGGUAACGGCCCACCAAGCCGACGAUCGGUAGCCGACCUGAGAGGGUGAUCGGCCACAUUGGGACUGAGACACGGCCCAAACUCCUACGGGAGGCAGCAGUGGGGAAUAUUGGGCAAUGGGGGAAACCCUGACCCAGCAACGCCGCGUGGAGGAAGAAGGUUUUCGGAUCGUAAACUCCUGUCCUCAGGGAAGAGCAGAAGACGGUACCUGAGGAGGAAGCCCCGGCUAACUACGUGCCAGCAGCCGCGGUAAUACGUAGGGGGCAAGCGUUGUCCGGAAUGAUUGGGCGUAAAGGGCGCGUAGGCGGCCUGUUAAGUCUGGAGUGAAAGUCCUGCUUUCAAGGUGGGAAUUGCUUUGGAUACUGACGGGCUUGAGUGCAGGAGAGGUAAGUGGAAUUCCCAGUGUAGCGGUGAAAUGCGUAGAGAUUGGGAGGAACACCAGUGGCGAAGGCGACUUACUGGACUGUAACUGACGCUGAGGCGCGAAAGUGUGGGGAGCAAACAGGAUUAGAUACCCUGGUAGUCCACACUGUAAACGAUGAAUGCUAGGUGUAGGAGGUAUCGACCCCUUCUGUGCCGCAGUCAACACAAUAAGCAUUCCGCCUGGGGAGUACGGCCGCAAGGUUGAAACUCAAAGGAAUUGACGGGGGCCCGCACAAGCAGUGGAUCAUGUGGUUUAAUUCGAAGCAACGCGAAGAACCUUACCAGGUCUUGACAUCCGACUAACGAGAUAGAGAUACGUCAGGUGCCCUUCCGGGAAAGUACAGACAGGUGGUGCAUGUUGGUAGUCAGCUUGUGUCGUGAGUUGUUGGGUUAAGUCCCGCAGCGCGCGCAACCCCUCCCAUUAGUUGCUUCGCAAGAGCAUUUUUAUGGGACCGCCCCCGGCCAGGCGGAGGGAGGGGGGGGAGACGUCAAAUUAUCCUGCCCCCUUUGAUCUGGGGUACCCACGUAAUACAAUGGCCGUUUACAAAGAGGAGCGAACCCGCGAGGGGGAGCAAAACUUCAAAAACGGUCUCAGUUCGGAUUGCAGGCUGCAACUCGCCUCCAUGAAGUUGGAAUUGCUAGUAAUCGCGGAUCAGCAUGCCGCGGUGAAUACGUUCCCGGGCCUUGCACUCACCGCCCGUCA
rnacentral:rRNA from 1 species